AAAAAUAUAUAUCUAUCUUAUGUAACUCACUGGUGUGGCAGCACUAGUAAAGCUUUAUUGUAUAAAGGUUAUGUUUUCAACGUUCAAUCGCAAAGUCGAAAAGUUUAUUAUUAAAUUUAAAUAUUCAAAAUGAUUGAAAAAUUUACACCAGGAAAUGUACUAAUAACAUCUAUAUUUGUGUUUUUGACAUAUACAAUAUUCUUUGAGCCUCGACGAUAUCGUUUGUACAGCCGAUUUUCGGAUCCUCAGAACACUUAUGCUCGUGAGAUAGAAUUGAAACACUUGGGUAAAAUAUACGUACCAGGAGAGCACUUAACUAGAAGUAUGUAUGAAAAAAAAUGAAACAAAAAUAUUAUAUUGUUUACGAUACAUGUAUAAUGCUAAUAUGUAUAUAUAUAAUAUAUACAUAUGUAAUAUAUAUAAUGCUAAUACAAUAUAUAUAAUAUAUAUAUAAUCAAUAUUAUUGUAGUUAAAAUAAAAUUUAAUAAAGUACAUGAAAAAUAUAUUUGUUUUUAAUUGAUAUAUUUAAAAUAUUUUUAAUGAUAUAAAUAUAUUUAUAACAUAUGCAAAAUAAAAUUUAAUAUGUGGCAAAAAUGUGAUAUUUUUAUAUUUUUGUUCAUAUAUAAUUUAUUUUGGCAUAUUGUUAUAGUAAUUUAUAUUAAUAGAAUAUAUUGAACAAAAUAUAUAAUUAAAAAAUCUAUGAAGAUAAAUUAAGUGUUAAUCACAUAUUUAAUUAUUUUAUUUUUUAUGUAUUUAAUUAAAAUGUCUAUAUACUGAUAUGUAUAUUGAAAAAUCUAUAUACUGAAAUUAUUUUAAAAAUUAAAUUAACUUAUGUGAUAAUAUUAUAUUAAAUAAAAGGAGGUAUUUAAAUAAAAUAUCUUGAAAUUCAUAGAAUUUGAAGUUUUAUUAGAUUUUUUUGAAUUACCUUCCCCUGAGAUAGCUUAUUCCAUUAAGAAAGCCAUCCUUCAUGUCAAUCUCUUAUAUAUAUAUAUGUAUACCAUUUUAUAUCAUAUAAUUUUUGUUCCACUGUCUAUUUAAGAGCACCCAUUGGAUAUGAUAAAUUCAUAUGAAUGAAAAUUAGACAAGCAGUGCAAAUGUUUGUAGGAAUAAAUAAACAUAAAUAAAUUGAAUGUUUUAUCAGAAUGUAUCAUAUGUUAUUAAGAUAAUUGCAUUAAUUGUAUUAAAUUCUACUUUAUGACAAUAAUUGCAUUUUACAUAAUGUUUCAUUUUUUAAGAAAUUAAUUAAAAUAUAUAAAUAUUUUAGUUUGUAUACAGAACAGAUAUUAUAACAAGAAAAAUCUUAUUUAAAUAAAUCGCGCUUUUGCAAUGUACAAUAAAUAACGUUGUCUUAGAUGCUAAACUUUAUUAACAUUUACAAAAGAAAAGCAGAUAUUCUAUGAAACGCUAUUUUUUUAGCAAUAUUUCAUUUUAUGUAAUUUUGGAUAAACAAGAACGUAUGUAAAAUUUCAUACAGAAUUGGUCAAUAUAUUCCUUUUCUUAACUUGAUAUGUAUUGGAUAUAUUUCAAAUAAAAGUGGAAAAUAUAAAGAAUUAAUAACAUAAUGAGAAAAAAUAAAUAACAGAUUAAAUAUGAUAACAAGAUUAUCAAUGUACCAAAACAAGAAUUUUUAAAUUCAAUGAAUGUGUAUUUUGAAAAUGUUCCAUUUUGGUUGAUGCUUCGCGUUUCUUUCAUGUAAGUUUUAUAGAUAAAUUUUGUAAAAAGACACAUAAUUAUGUUGUUGGAUUUUUGCUAAUUCGCUGAAACACGAAACAACAUCAGAUUGUAAAUGCAUAGCAUGAUCGUGUAUAUGUACAAGUGUUAUAUAUAUGUGUAGUAUUGCAAGCUAUUAUCUUUGAAAUCAAUAGAUAAAAAGUAAAAUUUGUUUGAUACUAAAAAAUUUAAACUAAUUUUAUUACUAACUUUUUUUUGAAAUAAUUAAAUGCUAAAAACAAAUUUGACGCUAUUUUUAACAGUUUUGAAAUUGAUAGCUUGUAAUAUUUCACAUAAAUCACAUAUAUAUGUGCAAUUGUGUAUGCAAUAUAUUUUGCACGAUUAGUACAUAAUAAUAUUUUACAUGUGAGCGUAUUAUAAUGCAAAAAUUAUAAAUUACGAAAAGAUAGUCGAGACGAUAAUAAGCAACGCUUUAUAUAACAUGAAAAUCCAUAUUAUAAUUACAAUGAUGACAAUAAUGGCUGAUGUAAAAAUAAAAGUGAUAAAAAUGUAAUAUGUGAUAAAACGAUUAGAUGUAUAAAUUUCGUUUUCAGACGAAAAUCUAGAGGUCUUUAACGGAAGAUAAAAAUUAAGUGUAAUUUUCAUUUUAUUCACAAUAAAGAUUAAAAAAAAUUAUUUUAAUAAAAAUAAAAAGGAGAAAUUGAUAAGAUCAUUUGUAUACAAUAUGUGUAUAUGUGUAUUUUAUUUCGAUGUAUAUUAAUUAAAUCUAAAAAUUUUUGAAAAAUUAAACAUUAACAUACAAUAACAAUUUUCAUUAAAGUAAUAUAAUUAAAAAUUUGGAUUAUGAUUAAUGAAAUUAAGUCCUCUAGAUUAUCGAUGGUUUUGAUAAAUUUCGUACAACGAUUAUAGCGAUGAAACAUUGAGUCACAUCUUAAAGUUUAUCUAAUAUUUCAUGAUAAUGAAUAUAUUUUGGUUUUACCUUUCAUGUAAAAUAUGAUGAUAUGGAAUGUGGCACAAUGAUUCAACGAUGAUAAAACUCUGGUCAACUUUCCUCGUUUGCAUUUUAUUCACGCACAAUAUCACCUUUUUAUACUCCAUUUAAUUAUUUAAUUGAUCGAUAGACACCACUGUAACAAUUUUUCUCAUAUUCAUAAUAUAGUUUGCAUGUUUUUGAAUAACAUUGUCAUUUAAUCAUUCUCUCUUUCGCUGUUUUAUAUUAUAUCACGUCACACGCAUUUUUUAAUUCAUUGAUCGAAUCUUGUUACACACGUCGCCAAACAAAUUUGCUUCUUUUAUAAUUCUUUUUAAGGAUAAUUAAAUAAAUAAUCAAUCAAUUUUUUACAUAUAAUUUUAUUAUAUCGUUAAUCACGAUGCACAUUCUUAUAAUUGCAUCUGAAAAAUUUGAAAAUUUCGAUAAUUGUUAAAAAUUUAAAAAAAAAUUAAGUAUUAUAUUAUUUUGUCAAAAUGAAGAUAAAUAAUAUUAUAUAUAUGAUAAAAUAUAAUUUUUCUUAAUAUAUUUUUUUCUUAUAAGAGCAUGAAAUAAAUAUGACAAAUAUAAAUGUAAAAAUAUCGAUCAAAUAUGAUAAAAUCAUUGCGAUUUUAAUUUUUUCGAUGACAUAUAUAUAUAUGGCAAGAAAUGAUGAAUUUCACUAAAAUAUAAUAUUCGAUAAUAAUCUUUAUUAAAAUUAGAUUAAAAUUAAAUAAUUAAUUUAAUGUUAAAGAAAAUAAAUGAAACAUAAACGAUUAAUGAAAUAAUAAAUUCGAAAAAAUACCUGGCAAUGCUGGCGUCGCGUGCAUCGAUCGAUCAAAAAAGAUACCAUUUUUUAAGGAUAGAAUCAUAACGAAAAAUCGUGCACACGUUUAGAGCUAAAGAGAUUUGAACUAUAUAAAUGAUUUAAAGAAUAAGCUCUUAAGUGCAAGUGAACGAACGAAAGAUAAACGUUUAUUAAUAAAGAUCUGGGAUUUGGUAUUUUUUUUUGUGUUGAAUGUGCGUGUUUGUCUCUGAUACAAUUGCUUUUAGGUUCACCUAUGUAUAUUCGGAGGCUGCGCAACGGUGUGUUGUAAUAUAAUUCUUCUCCCUCUUCAUUCGCUUAUAGUUUCGCGUUAAAAAUUUUGAUAACAACAAUGGUAUUCUUUACGGGAACGAUGAAAAUCUCGUUGAGAUAUAAUACUUAAUAAUCAUGCAGUCAUCCGCACGUACGCACAGAAUUACGCGUUUCGUUAUUAUUUUCUUUUUGCAUCUCUUGUCACAUGAUUACAAAUUUAUUCCUUAAUGCUUUACUUACGAAACACAAACAUUCUGCCAUUUUUUUUUUCUUUUUUUUUUUUUAAUAUAUUUGUUAAGUACAAUUAUAUACGCGUCGUACGAUUUCUCAAGCAUAGUAUUGUCAACAAUUGUGUAUAUAUUUGUUCUUUUUUUCUUUUUUCCUUUCCAUUUGUUAAAUGGUUUCUUUUGCUAAAUGUUCUCAUAAUACAGCAAUCUGAAGUCUAGUUUUCGAAUAAUUUCCUUUCUUUGGUUCUGCGUCCAUGGUCAGCUACUGAACGCAAAAGUUCGCGAUGACAUCUCACGCUCUCGUCGAACAAGAACUACGAACACUUAACCUUGUUUCAUUAUAUACAUAUUUCUUUUCUUUUUUCUUCGAUUUUUUUUAAGAAGAAUAAUGAAUCGAUUCGUGCAACGAGACAUUCAAUCACAGAAAAAUUUUUUCGAUUUUCGCAUUUGUUUUCGAUUGUAUAAAUUUAAAAUAUAUAAAUGUUAAUGAUAUAUUAAAAUGAUUUACGGAUAUGCAUUCUCAUUAUGUAAAGAUAAUAAUACAUUUUAUUUCUCUUCUUUUUCGAUAUUUUUUUAACCCUUUAGGGACCAUUCUAUUUUAUAUAUAUAUAUAUAUAUUUUUUCAUUGUUCUUUUAUAUUCUUUUUCUUUUUUCGAAUUCAAAGUUAUUAAAAGUAAUGAAAUUCAUAGACUAAAAGCUAGGUCUAUUAUUAAACAUUCAUUUCUAAACAUUCAUAGCAUGCAUCACGUUAUAUUUAUAAUAAUCUAAUAAUACUAGAAUAAUAUCAAUUUUAUAAAUUAUGUAUUAGUACCGUAAUUAUCGAUAUCUUAAGUAGAAUCCAAGAUAAAGCACUUGAAAACUGAAUUCCGUUUGAGAGUCCCAGCAGGGUUAAACUUUUAUUCAUUUCAAAUUGAAUCAUUGCAGAACAUUUUUGUAUCAUUUCUUCUUAAAUAAUAUAUUUUUGUGCAAUUUUUCCUUUUAGAUUAAUCAAUACAAAAUAAAGAAAAGGACAAAAUAUUAUUUCGAACAAUAUUUCUUUUGUUUUCCUAUGAGUGCAAACUGUAUAAGAAGUAACAUUCACGCAUACCGUUCACGUGAAUUUGGACAAAAAUAUCACUAUUAAACGGCAACGUGAAAAUUCCUAGUCAUUUCCUGUCCCUCGUUGCUCGUCGAAAUUCCUCUCUUACCUGAUUGAUUAUUCGACGAUUACUUUUGCGUUCCCAGUAUCAAUAUUAUCGUAUUCGUGUCGUUCUUAUAGAUAUUGUGAUAAUUCAUCACAAUCUCUAUGAAACAUUGCCAUGGUAUCUUUCGCUAUCACACCAAUGAGACUCUUCGGACGUUUAACGAGUAUAGAGAAUAGAAAUCGAAAUGUCUUUUAAAAGAGAAAAAUACUGUUGCUAUUGGGAACGGUGUUCACGUGCUUGAUGUGUAUAUGUAUAUGCGCGCGAUAUAUUGUGUAUGUACAAGUGUUUCUCUAAUGUUUUUGUUAUGUGUUACAUGUUGCAUAUUCAAUUCAAAUGUUUAUAGAGUUGAUAAGUUGGCAUUUAGGAUAACAUAAAAAAAAAAACAAAGUUUUCGAUAUUAUAAUAAUUUCUUAUUUACGAUAAAACUUUCGAUCAAUACGCAUGCUUAUUUUUACGAUUGUUUGAAUCUAUUAGAAAUAAUUAAUAAUAAUAACUAAAUAACAAUACAAAUUGUUUAAUACAAUACAAUACAAUUGAUCCAUCUUAUAAUUUACAAAUUAAUCAAUAAAUAACUAAUAGAUAGACUUGUAUUCUAUCCGUAUACCAACUUAGCAGUUCUGAUUGUUAGGUUAUGUGUGUCUGUUUUUCAUUAUUAUAUGUAUAAAUGUUUAUUAGGUUAUGGUAUGUGCAAGUGUAUACGUGUGUAUAUGUAUUUUAAGGGUAGUAAUUAUCACAGAAUACACGAGAUAUUUUUUUUCAUUAAGCUUACGAGAUAUUAAUCGAAGCGGAGAAUAGGAGGAAAAAUUGGCGGUCAAUCCCGUCCACGAAGCGCAAUCGCCGAGCGACCCCAAAACUUUUCAGCGUAAAGAAACACACAAAAGAUUGUUCCCGUUUCGUCGACGGACUUGGCCUGGUUGCCGAAUUCGCCAACCCUUUUUCAUUAAUUAGUAUGUACUUAGGCAGCGGAGAAAAUAGACACUUUUACAAAUGAAGAUGGUGGCGAGAUCGCGGAUUCGUGUUUCUUUUUUUCAAUUCUAAUUUUUCUUUUUUCCUUAUUUUCUUUUUCAUUUUUCUAUAUUUUCUAUAUGCGCAUUUCGCUGAUACCAUGUCGUUUUUGUCUAUGUUCGAUAAGUGUGGUUUCAAAUUCGAAAUCUUUUUUCGCUACGUUCGUUUUUCUUCGGUCGAAGGCACACUGGAUCGAAGCAACGCGAACGUUGCAAAAAAAAUGAGUUGCAAUGCGUUUAGUACGUGAGGAACGUUCAUUGAAAGUAUUUUAAUUGAAACCGGUAUAUAAAUCCGUUUAAAGUUACGCAUUUUAAUCACGUUAAUGAAUAACGUGCUAAAUCUGAUGUUUACAAAACAAAAUACGUUUAAAUUAUAACGUAAAUUUUCUCUAUUCUGUUCUACAAUAUUUUGAGAUUUAAAGAUAUUGAUUUAUGAAUGAUUAAUUCAUUGUUAUUUUUUCCUUUUUUUGUAUUCAAUUGUGAAAUAUAUGAUUUUGACGCAAAAUUACAUGAUAAGAAGUAAUUUCAGAAAGAUAUGCGCUUAUAUGCAUAAUAUGUUAAACGAAAUUCUAUGCAGAAAUUCUGUGCUUGAUUCAUGCCGCGUAUAGACGCAUGCAUCAUCCGGAUAUGGUAAGCACCUGAUGUAAAUACGUAAUUGUAAAUAUAGCCGAAUGUUCCUCAUUUUUUGGAUGGCUCUCUCCCUCUCUUCAGACGAGUAUCCCGCGCUCGCAACUACAUCAGCAUUUAGAUACUAUACACAAUACGUAAGUAUAUCUAGACGUACUACGUAGUAGAAACUUUUUUUGUGGAUAUAAUCAUUGUAAUCUCUGGAAUUGUAUAUCUUGUUGACCUGCGAAGGCCGGAGAAUGAAAUUUAUUUAAUUUCAAAGUCGCGUGCAUCUUUUUUUUUGUGUUAUUAUUAGUUUCCAUCUUCCGUUUUUUCUGCUUUUUUUCAUUGUUUUUCCCUUUUCUUUAUUUUUUUUUUAUUUCAUUUGCGAAUUUCUCGGGAGAUCCGAUCGAAGCUUCGUGCAAGAAUCGCAAUAUGUAUUGUUAAACAAAUGUUUUUAAAGUUUUCGAACGACAUUAGAUGUGAAAUAAAGAACGUUAAAGUAUCUUCCGCAAGGAUCAUUUCCGUUUUAUAACAGAUUGAGGGAUUGUUUAACGCGUCCGCCUUUAAUUUUCUCAAUUUACUUUUUCUUUUUUUUUCUUUUUAUAUAGUGGGGGAAGUCUUAUAUCAGAGAAUCACGGAUUUCAACCUUCGUAACCCAACGAACCAUUUCUAUGAAUGGACAAUAUUUGAUCUAUUUACAAGAGUAAUAUUGAUGAGAUAUUUUAAGCGAAUAGAGAGAAAAGUAUUAAUGUUCACUUUUUUUUCUUCGAAGCUUGCGUUCCACCUUGUCGUUUACAUAUUUUGUUCAUUCACACAAAAAGCAAUGAUCGUUAAGAGGAAAAGAGUCGAAGUUAGAUGAUUAUUUAAGUUACCAUACAACUACCACGAUAUAAAGUUUAAUUUCGAAAAAGUUAGGCUGUCGAUUCAUAGAAAUAAUAUUUUCUGGUUAUAAUAGAUCAAAGACCGGAUUCUCUGGUUCACAAUAUUGUACAUGAAAGAAAAUCUAAGGCGGACGAAAGUUCUACUUUAUUUCCUUCUUUCUUUUCUUAUUACUUCUUAUUUUUUUUUUUUAUUUACCUUCUUCAAUGGAACGGAAUAUCGAUUUCUUAUUGUAUAAGUAAACAUCUAUAUAUCGUUUCGAAGCGAGACCAAAGGUGAUUCACGGAGAAUGCUCGAAGUCUUCGAGCGGAUCUUGAUUUGUUCACCAACAAUAAUCAGACUCAUACGAUCUCUUGUUAAUUUUUACAAUAAGAACGUACUUUACAUUACAAUGCCUAUUUAUUACUAACGGCACAUCUCGAGUAACGUCGUGACGUGCCUAUUGGUCGUACGCAAUGCUACGUUAAACUGUUAUUUAGAAAAAACUUUUUUCGUCAACAAUGUGUUUCACAUAUCUACAAGAAAACUCGUCUUCCCAAACAAACGGCCUAAAACGUCAUCUCUCACAAGGGUCUAUAUAUUUAUACGUAGUAUUACAUUUCCUCGUUGCAGCGCGAUUCGCUUUUCAGUUUUGAAAACACGUUUAAUUCGCGUUUUAUAUUUGCAACGUGCUUAUGUUCACGGACCCCGAUUCGAUCGUUCUUUUAUUUUCUUCUUCUUUUCUAUUCACAGUUAAGCUACUUCCUCUUCUUUUGUGAAUCCAUACAAGUCGAGGUCUAAUCGCGCUGGAUACAUUUUACUAUUUCAACUUCGUUCUCCUUUCCUUAUGUUACGAAUAUUUACCAAAUAUAUUGCGUACUGGCAGCACUGUUUUCACAUAUCGCGUCUAUUCAGAACACUCUCCAAUACCUGAGGUUUCGUAUCCUCCAUCUUUACGGCACUUGUUCGAACAAAAAGUUCGCCGUCUUGGACGUUAUUCUAUUUUUCUAUCGUUUGUUCCGAAAGGAUGGGAGGAAUCACCCUUUUAUUUUUCCGUUUCUCCCUUGUCUAACUUCCAUUGGACGAACGUUUCGAUUCGGGGCUCAUUAUAAAUAUUUCACUCGAAACCCUUCCUUCUUGUUUUCUUUGUUUUGGUUUUGUUCUUUUUUUUUCUUUCUGUUUUUUUGGUUUAUAUAGGGGACGGGGCUAAAGCUCUGUGAUUCGUAAAAAAAGACAGAAGAACACGCUCGACCGGAAGCUGGCUGCGAAGGAAGCAAGAAGAAAAUAUGUCGCGCGACAUGCUUUCUCGUUCCCUCACUGACCGACGAUGUUAUCAUUAGAACCGAAAAGGAUUCGGCCGAUCGUCCUUAUCGGUGAUCUUUUUUUCUCGUUCGUGUUUUUUGUUUCUUUUUUUUUUUUUAAUUUUUUUAUUUGUGUUUCACACCUUUUCGAUAUCGCAUGUAUUGCGGUAUUGCUCGCAUUUAUUUUUUUACUUUUUAUUUUUUUGUUUUGUUUUUUAAAGACUUCAUUCUCGACAACGACGGCCGAACGUUCUAUAGUUUCCCCUGUGGACAAUGCCCCUUCUUUCCUUCUCUCCUCCGAGCUCUUUCCAAACUCGAAGGACGCAUCGCUUCGCUGUCGUGGCUUUAAUGCUGUGACUUCGAGUCUCAGGUAGGAUUCGGUAAAGGUGUCUCCUGCCUGAUGUCACUCUUUAGUUUAACGAAUUCCUUUGCAAUUUCAUCGUUGUUCCUCUGUGAAAGAAUUCUCAGGAUUGUCCAACCUGUCUCGUCCAUCUGGAUUCGUUUGCCAAGCGACAACCAACAGGCGCAGGAACCUUCUUCGACUAUAUCCUUAAGCUGCAUCACUGCUACACCGACUAAUCUAUCUUCUCUGGCAAAGCAAUAGUCUUUGCAACAAAUGUGCAAUUCGUAGAAGUCCAAUUGCUGCUGUUCAUUGCCGAUCAUGCUGGAUACAUUGAAAUAAUUACGUUAAUUCAUUGUGUGGAGAAAAUAAAUCAAAUAAACAGAAAGGGUUGAUGGUGAACACCAAAAUGUAACUUAUGACAUUUAGGUAUUUAUAUUUGAAUACUCACAAGUCGAAGCUCUCAUUGAAUUGUGGUGACCAAUUAUUGGUCUUUGAUUUUGUUGAUUGUUUCCUCUUCUUUCCAGUUAGAUGAGGUCCGAUCAAGUUUACUUCAACAUAUGGCCUGAACAUACCUGUAGCUAAUUGCCAUUUCAAAUCGUUUGCAGCGACAACUAAAAAAUAUUUUAUAAUGCAAUAAUAAUAAAAAUUUGGAUGAAAUAUACCUUUGACGGUAACUUUUUGUUCGCCAGUUCCAGGAUGCGUGAAGAGAUCCACUUGAAUACUGACUUCUCCAACUGAGCCUUCCUCUGUGCCAGCAGUAUCUGGAACUUUAUUAAGAACAAGUUAGAUUUUAUAUACAAAUUCAAAAUUCUUGUCACUACGAGAGAGAAAAAAAGAGCCUUGCUGAGGCUCUAUUCAAGACUAAAAUUUUGAAAUCGAAUGCUAAAAUACUAUAUAAUAUAUGAAUAAUAUCUAAUUCUAGAGCAGAUUACAUGCUCUAAUCAUAUGCAUGGAAUUUUGUAUCUUUGAAUCAAUUCAUCAAAGAAGACGAAGUUGCUGUGUUAUUAAAGACGCAUGAAUAAUCUCAAGCAUAUAAAAUUUACAAGAUCUUUAUACAAUAAUAAAUUUACUAAUUGGCUUCAUUAUUAUUUUAUGAGCAAGGAUUAGUUUGUAGCAAUUUAAUUUUUGUAAAAAUUACAAAAUUUAAUUGUAAAAAUCUUAUAUCUCAUUGUUUUUACUGGAUUAUGCAUUUUACGAUUAAUAAUUAAUUUAUCAAUCGUAUGGAUAUGUAAAAAAAAAAAAAUUAUAAAAUUAUUAGUUUAUCUGCUAUACUUUUUAGAGAAAACGAUUUAACUGGAAGAUGAUAUGGUGAAUUGACUGUGAAAAAGAAAAUCUAUAGGUGUACAUUUGUCAAAGCUUAAAAAAAAAAUGAUUAAAAGAAUGCUUAGUGUAAAAAAAAAUGUUAGAAAAUGGCAACCUCUGGAGUAGGUGUGAUAUACAGAGUAUAUAUUCACAAAUUUAUAUUAUUAUUGUGUAAGUAUACAUAAAGUGUAAUUUUAAUCUGUUAUUUAUUGAGAAAAUUAAAUAAAAAAAAAAUAAAUAAAAAUUAAAUAAAAAAUAAACUUUUGAAUAUAGUAUGUAAUGUAUAUCAUGUGUACACAUAAUUGUACCAGAAAGUAUAAGUGUAUCAGAAUAAGUUGUUAGUCACUAUCAAGUGGACAUUGCCAUCGAGAUGAGUAUAUAAAAACAGUGAUACAUCAUGCAAAUUUGUCAUAUUGUUCGCGACCAUAGAAGAUAAGUGGAACAUUGAUCAUUCGAAAUCUCGAGUUUUGGUUCCAAAGUUAUAAAGUUUCAAGUGGGCUUCCCAAGAUUAUAGAAUUUAAAUCUUCAUGAACUCAUGAAUUAUUAGAUUAUGGAAGUUCGAAGUUUCACUAGCAAUUAAUAACCUUCUUAAUGACCUAUGAUCUCAACUUGAUGAAGGAUGGCAUUCACUAAGAGAAACUAUGGCUUUCAGAUCCGAAGGUGGCCAUUUUCUACUGUCGAUGUUUUGUAAGGUUUUCGGUAGUAGCAGCAACAGCGGUAGUAGUGACAGCAGCAGCAGCACUACCUAAUACAACUAUCGAUCACCGAGAAGUCUUCGGGAUGUUUUUGAUUUCAAUUCUAUUUAAUGUUGCUAAAACACUUGCUAUGCAACGAGAAUCUGUAUUAAUGAUUACAUUAUUUAUAGUUCAUAAUUCAUAAUUUUAUAUAUAAUACCGAAAGAGUCAUGCUUACAAUAUGAAUUCUAAAUUUGAUUGAGAAAAUUCCUAAUUAAUCCCGAGAAGACAGCUCGGUGCACAAUGCAAUCACAAACAGUCCACUACGUCCUAAAAUGAGCGCCUAGGUUCGAAAGUGGCCGGAAGUCAGCGAAGAAUUCCCUUCUGCUCUAAGGUGGCUAGUGCUCUCCGAUACCUUGUCGACUCUCUCGACGAAGAGAGGGCUUGCUCUGGCGAAGGGGUUCCUCGAGGCUUUCCAUACCCUCGGCUCCUUCCCCUUCGUCGCCACCUCUUUCGCUGCUCAUCGAACGCUGACGCUGACGUAGCUUUGAUGCAUUGUUCAGUGGCACUGUCGCGAUAAUUUCGGUUACGUCGGUUGUAUUUCGUACGUCGACGACGAUUUUUCCAAAAAUGUCGCGGUGUACGUGUGUGUGUGCACGGAUUAUGAUAAAUGUAAAAGAAGCGUGUGUUGUAGAACGAUUUACUUUCUUUUGCUUUUAUUCAAUUUGAUCUCAAAUUCAGUGCUGCGCGGUUAAUGGAAAUUUUGGAUUGCACCAAGUUUUUGUUAGAUAUUGAUGAAUGGAUAAAUUUAAUAGAAUUUUGGAAACUCGCGAUAUAGAUAGAUAAACAACGUAUUGCAAUAAAGUGGAAAUCAAUUUUUUGGAGAGUCACUCGUUUGUUUUCAUAAAAUUUAAUUUAUUCGAUAAAUUUAGAUUCGCAACUUGAUUGAAAUUUUGCUAAUUGUUAUGUGUGAUGAUAGGUACUGUGCUGUUAGUUUUAUUAGUUUUUUUUUAUGUAAUGAUUUUUUUUUGAUUAUCUCAAGUGGAAAAAAUAUAAUGAUUUCUUUGAUAUUAUUUUACUUUGAUAUUUUUCCCUUCAUUAGUUAAAAUGAAUAAAAUUUUGUGUUUAGUUUUGAUAUACUAUUGUUGAUAAACAAAAGAUAAAUAAAAUUAUAUGACUGCGUAUAUAA